rnacentral:rRNA from 1 species
AUGAGAGAUGGGAUGCACCGCCAUCAGAUCUCGAGGGAGCUUACAGUUUGUAGAGAUGUUAUAAAACCCUCUUCUCUUCCAAUCCAAACCAACCCGCGAGAUCAGAUCAGACCAAUUCGAUCACCGGCACUGCCCGCCGCCAUCACCGACUCGAUCGCCAUGGCAGCGGAAACCGAUCACCACCGACGCGUUGAUCAUGUCGUGCUGUUCCCGUUCAUGGCGCAGGGCCACUUCGCGCCGUUCCGCUGCCUCGCCGCCCUCGUGCGCCGCUGCCGCCCCGACGCCCGCGUCACCGUCGUCGCCACCGUCGACGCAGCCGAGUCCAUCCACGCCCACCUCGACCACGACGCCGUCGCUGUCCACGUGCUCCCUUUCAGCCCCGUCGGCGCUUCCCAGCGGCUCAUCGACCUCUUCCUCGCCUCCGAGUCCCUCCGCCCGGCGUUUCACCAGUUCAUCGCGGGCCUCAGACGCUCCGACCCCCGCGCCUACGUGCACGUCGUGGCGGACAUGUUCCUGGCCUGGACGGCGGACGUAGCCCGCGGCGACCCCGGCGUCACGCACUCCGUCUUGCUCACCACCGGCGGCUACGGCUCGGCACUCUACUUCUCGCUCUGGAACAGCGUCCCGCUUGUCCCCGACGACGCCGAGUGCUUCCAGUUGCCGAGCUUCCCGGACAUCCGCGUCCACCGCUCGCAGCUCACCGACCACCUCGCGACGGCUGACGGCGGCGACGAGUGGUCCACCUUCAUCCACAGGCAGAUCGCCGCCUUCUCCCGCGCCGAUGCGCUGCUCGUCAACACCGCCGAGAAGCUGGAGCCCAAGGGACUAAGCAUGCUCCGGCAAUCGCUCAACAAUGUCCAGGUUUUCCCGGUCGGGCCACUGCUCCGAGCGGCAAGUUCGUCGUCCCCGCAGGAGACGACAUCGAGGAGCCCCAUCUUGGUGUGGCUCGACAAGCAACCACCGGGCUCAGUGUUGUACGUGUCGUUCGGGUCGUUGUACACCAUCUCCGCGUCGCAGGCGACGGAGCUGGCAAUGGGGCUCCAGAAGAGCGGGCACAAAUUCGUGUGGGUGGUCCAGCCCGCCGCCGACGUGAACGGCAGCGAGUCGCCGUCCUCGGGCCUUCCGGACGGGUUCGCGGAGAGGAUGGAGGUUGCCGGGCGCGGGUUGGUUGUGCAGUGCUGGGCACCGCAGGUGGAGAUCCUGGCGCACCCGGCCACGGGCGCCUUCCUAACGCACUGUGGGUGGAACUCGGCACAGGAGAGCCUCGCCGCGGGCGUGCCGAUGGUGGGGUGGCCGCUCUCGGCGGAACAGUUCUACAAUGCCAAGUUGCUAGUGGAGGAGAUGGGGGUGUGCGUGGAGCUGGCACGCAGCACCGCGGCGGCCGUGACGAGGGACGAGGUGUUGAAGGCGGUGGAUAGGGUGCUCGGCGAGACGUCCGGAGUGCGUGACGUGAUGAGGAGGAAGGCCGCGGAGAUGAAGGAGGCGAUCGACGCGGCGAGGGACAGCGACGACGAGUACUCAUCGCUUGGAGUGACGCGGAGGUUCUUGGACGCGAUGGCGCGUACAUCGUCUGUCAUGGGAACAACUAUAUCUGGCACUUCAGGUGAAGCCCAAGGACGACCUGGCUGGCCCAAGCGAGGGAUGAAGCCUAACCCACUUAACACAGAGGAGCUGAUAGCGGUCCAGGAACUGAAGAUAUAG